UUUUCAGUUCGAUUGCAGCAGUAGCAGAAAAAGCAACAUUUGAGUUUAAGAUGAACUGCCUCAGCUUUUUAGCAUUAAUAGCUCUACUCUUGGCCAUUAAUAUGGUUCAAAUUCAUGCAAAUUGGAUAGACGAUAUUGGCGCUCAAGUUGAAAAAUCUGGUAAAGAAGUCGAAGAGAUGGGAAAAGCUAUUGAUAAAAUAUUCGCCGAUAAUUUCUUUAGCCAGCAUUAAAAAUAUUAAUAAUUUUUGUGAAUAAUUUAAAAAUGAUUUGAACUUAUGAAUAUGUAGAAACUCUAAGCUAAAUAAAAAAUGUAAAUAUUGCAGUCGCGCAUACCCAACCUGAACAAAAUUGUUUAUGAUGGAAGCAACUUAUUAAGCUGAUUAAAUAUAUAUAUACUCAUAUAUGUAAAGCACAUUUAUGGCAAUUGCUUUUAUGUACUCUGCUUUGUCCGCUAAUGGAAAUAGAAGACAAGAAUGCUGGAGUCAAGUUUGGAAUCAACAAGUAUUAGAUACACUGCAGCAGCAUUUGCGACUAGACGUAGAGCAUGGACUUGAUAAAUUACAUAUUGAAAUUGUGUUUGACAUUUAUGAAAAAUUAUUUAAAAUAAUAAUUGACAGAUUUAGCUUCCAUAAAUGAUUGCUUAUGUAAAUAUAUUAUUUUAAAAAUUAUAUUUAAAUCCUAGAGGCAUACGAAAGGUCUUCCCUUUAUAACUUAAGUCCUCAGCAGUUGCAUUAGCUACAUUCAGGGCAUUUAACAUUCGUUAAAUUACAAACACAAAUUGCUUAUUUUUUUGGCAAAUUAAGUCUUAUCAGCCUCAUUGCGUCUGUAAAGCUAUUUAUUUAUACACAGGCCAGAUAAGACGACAGUCGUAUAAUACCAGCAGCAUCUGCAUCAUCAAAAUAUUUCUCAAAGAAAAUAAAAGCAGAACACAAUUUCAAUAUGAAUUACAAUGGUUUAUUAAUUUUGACUGCUAUCCUUUUGGCUGUCAAUGUGGACGUAGCCAAAGGUGACCUUUGGGACAGCAUCAAGGAUACCUUUAACGAUGCUGUCGACGCAGUAAAAGAUUUGUUCUCCUAAGCGUAGUGAAUGAAUUGAAUUGUAAAGCGCAUGUCUCGGCUAUUGGAAUAAAGUGAAUUGAAAUUUCUUGUCUUAUUAAGAGUUUUUCAGGCAUUUAACUUGUUUGUAU